CCAGCUUGCCGGUUGUUCUGUACUGUAACUGAGGGAGAGCGGAGAAAAUAAAUAUCAGCACACACACAAACACGAACGAGCGGAGACGCACACACGUGCAUCUUGUUAAGCAAAGACAUCCAAAACAUCAGAACUUUUGGUGCUGUCUCUUUUGGCCGAGGAGUGCUGUUUCACUGGUUAAAGGUAGCCUGUGGAUAUGUUCUGAGUGGAGCAGCUCAAAGGUCUGAGAGGCAAACGCUGGGCUGCUAUUAGCGUGCCCUUUGCUAGCUGGCGGGGAGGCCCCUGAACAUGUUCCAGGCUGACCUACAUGCUGAGAGCCGCACCCCGACACAAAGGAGGGCAUCGCGUCCCCCAGCCCGCUCCUCCAAGCCCGUCUGAGGGAGUAGGAGUGAAAGCCUUCACACGGUGCCCUGCAGCGCUGAUAGCGGUGGUUACUCAUCUCUGGAGGACAUUGUUUGCUAUGUACUUCACCGUGAACUCCUGGAUUUUAUGGACAUGCGGGCAGGUCGAAGCAGACCUUUGAACGGCCACGACUGUGGGAACCGCAGACAUAACAGGCUGGGAGCUGCUAGUGCUACGCUAUCUUAUCUCCGUGUCAGAAGUCUGAGCAGGGUCGGUCGUGUUUAUGGUUGUGUGCUCAUUGCACUGUAAUUAUUAUACGACGACGGCGGUGUUGCUCGCCAUGGGAAAAGAGGUGAUGAAACACAAGGGGAGGGGGAGAGGGUAGAUCUUUGCAAAUUACGCAACGAAAUAAACAAUAUUAUGCUGAGCUUUUGGGAGCCAAUAAAACCUGGCGUCAUACUGUUUAAUCGCCGAGCUGCCUUUGGUGAUAUUGUGAUAUCUGCGCCUUUUGUAUUUUAUUACGUUUCCUAUUUUUCGUUUUCUCUUCUGCUUUUGUGACAGGGUAUGCAUCCCUGGAAACCUUUUAAGUGAGUUCCUAAUUUAGAGCUUAUUCUUUCCUUACUUUAUCUGUCAGUCAUAAUUCUGUCGCCUUUAUUUUACGUUAUUUUGACGACAGAUGCUUUAGAUUCACCACUUAAAUAUUGUUAGUGCACGUAAGUGCUGAAGCAAGCCGAUGUUUAAAACAUUUAAGAUUGUAUUUAAUUUAUCCAGUGGAAAAAUAUUGCUUCUUAUUGCUUUACAAUUUCACAUAGUUUGCCGUCUGCCAGUAGAUUAUUGUUUUGCUUCUUUAGAUGACUGAACUAAAACUUAACACUGCUCUCCCCGCCGCUGUCAAGGACUCGCUAAUUACAAUUUUAUAAUAUCAUAUUAUACAUUUUUAUAAAAACUACUUGAUGAACCAAUGACAAAAAACGAG
ensembl:lncRNA